CAGUUCUGCCUGCUAAAUUUGGGAGGUGACAGGCAUUGGGACCGAUUUCGAUUUUUUUAUUUGCAACAAAACUACGCGCUUGCAUGCCAUCGGUUUUCCCGACGCCCUAUUGCUCAAUACUACUCGGUUAACGUUUAUAAUGUCAAGAAUUAGGGGUGAAAUUCCGCUUUGUUCACAAUGCUGAGAUGGUAUUACCAGUAGUGUAAGCAGCCUUACGGCGCGUUCGGGCCUGGGGUGGACAUCGCACAGACGGUCAGGAAGAAGCCGGGGGCUCAAUGGAGAACAGGUGUCUCAUCCCGUUCAGUAUCUCCUGGAAAUCUGUAUCCGUCUGCGAAAUGCGCAAUCCGUUUGCAUGAUUGUUCUCGUCCUCCGCAUACACAAUUAUUUGUAUGUACCACAUAAGGACCAAAGAUGCACACAGGCUUUGUGUCACUUCUUUCGGGCUCCCCUGUCUUGUGUAAACAUAAUUUUAGCUUUCAUUCAAGUGGUGGCGGUAUUUUUUUACGUUCCUCUAAUCCCUAGCAAUCGCAUCAAAUGCACCGAGAAACCGAUAUAAACACACACAAACAACAGGUUCCUAUUUUUUAAUCCCGAUUCUAAGAAGCACAGGCGGAAAAAUAAAGGCAGGAGCUGCCUGUAUCGCCAAGUAUCGCGGAGGGUUUUGUGGAACGUGUGCGCAUUCCGGGGGUACAGAUUUCCAGGUGAUACUGAAUUGGAUACGACAGGAGGCCCGGGCUUCUGCCGGUGUAGCUCCGACCGACCCAGCACAGCCAGACGCUGAACUCGAUACUGAAGACCCUUGUAGACGUCUGCCAUAGUAAAUGAAUCUUUAAGCGCAGUAAAAAAAAACGUGUUGUACUGUUAUCAUACAGUAGCAUGAUUUCACAGCGUUCUAGCGAAACCGCUAGAACAGCUUGCGAGGAAUCUAUGAAUAACGAGAGCGACGUCACGGAAAAGCCAGUCUGGACGCCAUACAAAUUCGGGGUGCUAACCUUUCACAGAGAAAAGGGAAAACAGGCCACUUUCUGCCAACGGAUAUAUAUAUAUAACUGCAUAGUAAAAGGGGGGGAAAAUCAAUAAAUAAAAUGUUAAAACACAGCGAAUUACAUAAAUGGAAUUGCUGUGCGUUCCCAUGAAGGAGUAAUCAGGUUAUGAGGUCAAAGGUCGUUGCUCAGACGUUCGGCUCCAGCACUGAACGCCUCCGGCACACUGUCAGACCGGUUCGUACAGCAUAGAAUGAAAUGCCCGGGUUCCUAAUCUCAUUUAAAACAGUUCCUGAGAGGUUUGUGAACGUGGCUCAUUUCCUGUGCCUGUCAUGCUGGCUAUGUGCUCCUCCUCUCCUCAGUAGUUCUCCGCCCUGGUGGUUCUGUCUGCAGCUGGACCCGGAGCGACAGGAGGAGAAGCAGAGAGCCUCCUGUAAGGACAGCCUGGGGCUGGUGGACCAGUAGGACCAGUAGCUCUUCGCUCCCCUCUACCUGACCUGCUGGGACAUGGGGCCCCUCUGACCUGUCAAGUGCUCUGGGGUGAAAAGUGUUAGUGUUGUUAUUAUUAAACUCCCUAGAGGCUGUUUCUUUCUGAGGCAGUUCAAGACAUUAGGAGUGUCACAGGAAGCAAUGACCCCUUCCUACACAUCUGUCAUGGAAGGCAGGCUGUUCCUUCAGCGGAGUGCCGCUCACCUGACUGCUCGCGAUGGAGGCUCAGAGCCAGCAGUCCAUCAGGCGUCCAUCAUGUGUCACUAGCUCAGGCAGAGGGGGAGAGAGGCAGGCUGCUCUUUCUGUAACAGGCCUGACAGCGAUUGUUGGGAUUUGUGUCGUCCAUCACCUGCAGUCAGUACGGGGAUCAAAGACCUGGAGCUGAGAGGCACCUGGAUGGGAGACGUCGGCUUGUUUCUGCAGCAGUGUGGAGGAGCAGGCGCAGAAGAGGGCUGAGGGGGCUGCUUUUGGCAGCUGUAAUCCCAGGGCCGACAGCGCAGACUGGGGGAACAGCCACAGGACAGUGAUCGUGACAGCAGCCCGUCUCACACUUCCUGGGCAGGGUGCUCGGUGAGGCCGCUGCAAGUCACGGGCGGGCACUGGACUCUACAGUGGCGUGCGUGUGGACUGGCGGGACUGGGCUGAGCAGCGUGCACAAACCUGGGACUAGGCUGGAACAAAACGAAGAACUCGAGUCGUUUCCCAGUGGGGGCGCAGCUCAGUAAUUAAA